UCUCUGCGGAUGGAUGGAGCACUUGUGGAUGCCUGGCUGUAUUUCCCAGGCUUAAAGAGAAACAUCAUCUUCUGGCUGAUUGGAGAAUCCCCCGGAUGUUCGGCCGAGUUACGUGUCUCUUCUUCCCUUUUUUUAAAAAAUCUCCUCUGUCCUCGUGUACGCCCAUGUGUGUGUGUAUUCACGAGGACAUACCGCAUAACUAUGCCGCCUGGUGGAUUCAGCUUUUCUGCGGAUGGAGCACUUGUGGAUGCCUGGCCGUAUUUCCCAGGCUUAAAGGGCGCUUAUCAUCAUCUUUUUUUCCGCCUCUUUUCUUCUUCCGCACUGCUCCGAAGAUGAUGAGAAAUUGGAGAGAAAUGGAAAAUGAUUUUCCGGGGUCAUUAACUUUCUAAUCGUGCAGCCCGCACCUGUCUCGAUUUUUAUCCCGUCUUAUACAUCUUAUCAUAUUUAUCCUUUUUUUUUGUUGUGUGCUGUGUGCUUUCGUUUUUGAUUCGAUUUGGAUUUUGUGAUGAUGGAUUCUGGUUUCUUUUCUUCUCUUUCUCUCCUCGUCGGAGAACGAAAUGCUCUUCUGGGAUCUUGUUCUGAUUCUCAUCCAUCACACAAGGGUAACACAGAGCAUCCCCCCUCUGGAGAGGUAAUAAUAUCAGGAAAGCUUUUGAAACAAAGGUAUUAUAAAUCAACCGUAAUUUUUGUUUUCGGUUUUGCGCUAUAGGUAGGUGAGAAGAAACAUGAAGCUUGCGACAGUUUAUCAAUCAAUGAUGAUGUACUUCAAACCGAGAGAGAUAGAGCCUAUAGCUACCGGGGAUGGAGAUAAUUAAAAGCAGCAAAAAAAAAAAGGUGAAACAAAAAACACAAAGCUACAGGCGAAGUUCUUUCUCGGGUGGUGUUUGUGAAAGGGAAAAAACAAAAAACAAAUUUCCCUACAGCCGCAAAAGUCCGGUUCUCGUCUUCCGACAAAUUUAUUUUAUUUUUUUGUUUUUCUCUCUCAUCUUAUAACUCGGGUUCUGAUGCAUCAAGAGUUUUGAAAGGCCCAGUCUUCUCUGCGUAAACUACGUCCAAACUCGCCCUUGUUGAUUGUAACUGGCUGCCCGGGUGACGUUUAGUGCCAGCUGAACGCUGCUGCUGCUGCCAUUUGGAUUCUUACGCUCUUAAACGCGCUGCUGCCCAGAUGGCCAACGAAACAAUUUCGGUUUUUGGCGAGCUGAGAAAAGGCGGAGACCGAGAAACGGUGAUUUUCUCCUGACGUCACUCUCCCCGCAGUCAUCGGACUAUAAAAAUAUUUCACAACCCGCCAGCGGGUUCGGUCAUCAGGUAUGUUAUAUUGAGAGCUAUAGGCAAGGUUGUUGGAGGGGGCUCACUCCAUAUGUGGCGGGCUCUGUCGCAGCUUUCUCCGCUUUCAUAGUCCACAUAUACACAACCGAAAUCAGAGACUCACUGAUAAUGGCGAUAUCCGCGUUCAUUUCGACGUGCGUUUUUUGUUGUUGUUGUUGUUUUGUUGUUGUGUGUGCUACCUAACUCAACCACGCACCAGCAGCAUCGCUCGAGCAAACACCCAAGAUGGUUGUUAUUACAUCUACACACACAGAGAUUUGUAUGUAUGCGCAUGCAGAUGUGUCUGUGCACUUUUCUUGUCGCACUUCAUCAUUCACUCGCGUCUCUGCACCUCCUAUAGAAGAACCAAAUGAUCAUUUGUUUUUAUCUUUGGCGUGUAUGUGUGUCUAUAAGUACAUAUUUGCUUAGUCGCAGUAUUAUGUAUUGUGUAGGGCUGUACAUACAUGCAUAAUCACGAGUCGUGGGUGACCUACUGCGCAACCGAGAAGAUAUAGAAUUCACGGUAUAAUCUGGCUGGGUACACAGGCUGGCUGGCUGCUGCCGUACCGUGGAAAUGGUUUCACGUGCUCAUUGAUUUUCCUGCUCGACAGACCAUAUAGUCACGUUGCAUGAUGAUGAUGCGCGCGGUUCGGGGCUGGCUCAGCAACGGUUUAUUAUCCAUCUUUUGACUGCUGCUGCUGGAAAGUUGCUAUUUGCGCUCAUGUAUAAAUAGUUCUUGUUCUUUUUUUCUCACAUCACUUGGAUCAUGUCCAUAUAUCCCGCCUACUUUUGCUGCAUAUUCCGUGGGGCGGAAAAAGAGAGAGAGAGGAAAAAAAAAAGAUUUGAACCGUUUCUUAGUAGAUAUUAUAUACUUUCGUGCUGCUGCUGGAAUGUCGAAGUGCUGGGAAAGCUCACGUCCUGGUGCGGUUGCCGUUCUACAAAUCGUCAUCAUGCUUGCAAUCCUCCUCCUUUCCUCCUUAUUCCCCUCUUUCUCCACUUUACAUGUCCACUUUCAUCUUCUCGUUUUCAGCUGAGAAAUCAGAAGAAGAAAAAAAACUAAAUCUCUUGCCGAAUAACCGCGCCGUUUCGUUUCGGAACUAUUAUAAUCGAGUUCGUGCGCUCACGAAGCCGCAAAACGUUUCAUUUCGUAGGCGUUUAAAAUAACGGAAGAGAAAUAUUUCGUGUAUAUCAACUGUUGGGACCCGCUCAGCCAGCUGACACCUUUUAAGGGCUGAGAUGAAUAGCUCAAUCACUUUCCAAAAUUGGAUAGACGAAUUAAAGAUUCGUGAGUUGCAGGUCUUGGUGGAUUUCUUUCUGGCGGGUCCGCAGUAUGGCUGACUGAAGGGGAAAUCGCCCAAGCCGAAUGACACUGGUAUACGUCGCCGCGUGCUUAUAAGUCUCCGACAAUGUUGUUCAACCGGAAUGGAGUUAAGAAAAAUAAAAGGGAAAAAAACAAAACAAAAAACAGAUAUAGUCUCAACAUGCAAUGAAGAGAUUGAGGACUCAUCUCUACAGCUCCCAUCUUCACCAAUGACAUGGAAACUAAAAACCGAAACCAAAAACGGUGGUCUAGCCUACUUGCAGCACACAAAAAUCCUUAUCGGAUUUAAUACAUCAAGGGACGACCGCAGAACUCUUUUUCCUACUUGAAUUGAUGCCAGAAUUAAAAAUGAAAACAAGGAAAAUGAUUGUCAAUGGGCAAUUUUAAACCAUGAAAAAAUGAAACAGUUUUAGCGAAACGUCUUACUAAAGACUGGAUCCAUGAACGGAAUAUUAUUUUAACCGAUUUUAACCAUUUAUUCCUAUCCGCAAUGUUGCAGCGUCUCAGCAGUAGACGAGAGUAUGCACACAUACGUGCGUGGCAUUUUAGUAUCGAGUAAAGAGCCCAGGAGGUCCGCAAUCCGCAUCGAUUGUCUACUGACGACUUGAAAUAACGGCCACAUAGUUUCAAAAACCAUUGAGCAUCGGCCAUUCGAACUCGACGAAAGAUUUUAAAGAAAAAGCUAUAUACACAUAAAUCAUUCAAUGUGUUUUUUUUUUAUUUUGUUAUGUUCCAAUAUGGAAAUAACCAAUCGUUUCUUUUGUAUACAUAGCACGCCGCCAGCAGCAGCAACAUUAGAAUUAGCAAGUUAUUUCAUGUAAUUUAGUGUUGGUUUACUAAAAUGAUACCGUUAAUAUCUUUAUAUCUUUUGCAUCAGAGUUGCGUCGUCAUUAUUUUCAUCUUCGGAUUAUUCAAUUUUUCUGAUUGCUUUGGCGCCUACUGUUAUUUUCAUCAAUUAUAAACUUGUUUCUAAGGAUCGUACAAAACAUCGCAAAACAUUUGAUUACCGUAUAGAGUGGACGUAUUAUAUCAUAUUUUCAUUAUUUAAAGUUUUAUAGCUCUCCUUAUAAUUUAAAAUACUGUUAACCACCCAGCGCAUUUAAGCCAUUUAGAACAUAAAUCCUGAGCACUGUGACUGUUUCAACAAGAGUAGGUGGUAUACUACAUAUAAAGGUGAUAGAUUAUAGGGGAGAAAGGAACAAGAGCCUUGUUAAUACAGUACUGUAUAUACGUAUAUAUCUUAGAUAAAUGUGUUUGAAAUGAGCCAGUCCUUAUUCAUGUUGGGAUGAAGAUGAGAUGGCAACACAUUCAUUCCUUAGAUGAAGAACUGGUUCUCACUACUGGCAAGAUUAAAAAAUUACAUCAUGAUUUAUUAUCCAUUUUUAUUUUUAUGAUUUUACCUGAAAAUAAUUGGAGAGAGGCUUCAGACGAAGAGGGCGAAAGGCCCUACGUAUAUACAGGUCUUCAGUGUACGUUACAAGAUGCAAGGAUAAAUUUUUGAAAAAGCCGCAAUCAGGCACCUAGUAGAGGAAUUUCGUACUGCUUUAUCGAAUCAUGCUUGAUAGCCUUGUCGUCUGCGUCAUUCCCGCGUGCUGGGUGGUGUUUGUUUUUGUCAGGCUCAGGCUUCGGGUUAUGACCGAAGAAUAGAAACUUGAAAAUUUGCUUUCGUGUUCCUACCACUGUUUUAUGGAAUAAUUUGUCAUUUAGAGAAAUCUGGGAAGUAAAGAAGACACAGACAAAAAAAUUAUUUUAUUUAAAUUAUUUUAUGUUUAGGAUAAAAUGUUUGUUGAUUUUGGGCUCAAAGUGCAUACAAACUUUUGAGACAGCAAGCUUUUAUUUAGGAUACAAUCUGUUUAUUGAGAAAAGUGAUGGCUCUAUUGGCUCAUAACUCAUAACUGUGCACAACCAUUUACCUCGAGUCUACAAUAACUAUAACUGUGACAUGAUCAGUUUAUUCUAUGUCCUUCCACUGCUUCAUGAAAAUGUGUUUAUUAUAAACAAGGGCCUAUAAAUAUAGAAUGCAUCACAUCACCAUGCAUGCAAAUAUUUUAAAACAACAUUGAACCUGGCCAAUUCAAGGAAUGCUGCAUACUUCAGGUUUGUGGACCUUCAGUCGUGGCCAUUUUAAAAUCCUUGAAAAUGCUGGUAGAUCUCAGAAGAGUAGCACUGUAGCAGCUACCAUCACAGACAUAGAAUGUCAUCGGUGGUAAUGGAUACAGGAAUGAGUGUUGAGAUCCAAGAAAAUAGUGAAAUUCUCGUACUACGUGCUACCACUCGACUCGAAAAUUUUCCUAUUUUUCCAUGAAAAUUAACGAUGAAUCCAAAGAAGGAACGCCCAAAGGCAACUAGCCUAGAUAAGUAGCCUACCAUCAAUUUUUUUCAUAAAAUUGUCGUUCGCUGAAUGCUUCAUGCUGUUAAAACAGGUUAAUAUUCAUCGUAAUUAUCUGGAGUUUCUGUUGAUAUUGGUAGGUCAGUCACUACCCCAGUGUGGACACUUUUUUUUUUUAAAACAUGUUUUCUCCAAAUAAUGCAUUGACAAACAAUCAUAGAGAAAGCUAUGGAAACAUAAUCAAGGCCAUGGGUAUCUUCAGGUUUAUUGCAGAAACUUUGGGGAAGUCACAUGAAAAGAUGCAGGUCACAUACCAACAUGUGUUGUAUUUAUCUGAAUUUUUUACUCAAGCAGUAGAUUCAACAUGACUGUUUGAUGCCAAAGUAAGUUAGUUCUGGAACUCUAACUCAAACACAGAUAACCGUUGCUGCUGCUGCCUUAUUACAGUCACAGCCAGGAAAAUUAUUCUUUUCUUCAGAAAAUUACGAAUUUCGAUGCUGAAAGACUUGGAAACCAUGCUGUCCACCACGUCGAGAAGCUGAGUAACAUUCUGUGUGUUCAAUGGCUCCUCUUAAUAAAAGGAACUGAAGCCAUCCAUCUAGGGCUUCCAUCCAAUCAUGCGGGCUGCAUGGAAGUCACAUUUACCUUUUGUGUGAACAUCAUGAACACAUACACCAUUUGAAGGUUCAUGUUUACAUAGCAGUGGUGUUGCUGUCCAAUGUGGCGUGUUGUUGCAGCCUAUGGUGGUGAAAGAUACCUUCAUCAAGUUGCUGUUCAUUGUGCAUCCAAGGUGAUGGUUUUGUGCUACGGAAGUUACAUCCAGUAUUGUGUUAAAUUGCCAUUCAUGCCUAAAUUGCCUAUGCAGUUUACCUUUUAUAUAUUGAGAAGGAACAAAAAAAGUAAUAUGGGGAAGUUUAUGUCAAACAAAUAAUAAACAUGUCCGCGAUUGGGGAAUGAGGAAGAAGUUGGGGUGGGAUACUUGAUUAUGAUUUACUUAAAGAAGUGAGGUAUAUUUUUAAUGUGCAGUACUUGGUGAUAAAAUCUGUUCACCUAUAUAACCUUCCCCACAUCCACUCCUCAAACCCCUUAAGUACCAACAUCAAAUCCCACAUCUACUUACAUCCAUUCCUCAAACCCCACAUUGCCCAAUCAAACUCACACAAUUGUUGUAUAUCUAUAACCAUCUCUAUAUAUAUAAAUAAAAUGUCAUUGUAUAUAAAUUGUGUAAACUAUAUUUACUCUGGAACACUCACAAAAUAAAAAAUUCAUUAAACA